rnacentral:rRNA from 1 species
GACGAACGCUGGCGGCGUGCUUAACACAUGCAAGUCGAACGGUAAGGCCCUUUCGGGGGUACACGAGUGGCGAACGGGUGAGUAACACGUGGGUGAUCUGCCCUGCACUUUGGGAUAAGCCUGGGAAACUGGGUCUAAUACCGGAUAGGACUACGCGAUGCAUGUCGUGUGGUGGAAAGCUUUUGCGGUGUGGGAUGGGCCCGCGGCCUAUCAGCUUGUUGGUGGGGUGAUGGCCUACCAAGGCGACGACGGGUAGCCGGCCUGAGAGGGUGUCCGGUCACACUGGGACUGAGAUACGGCCCAGACUCCUACGGGAGGCAGCAGUGGGGAAUAUUGCACAAUGGGCGCAAGCCUGAUGCAGCGACGCCGCGUGGGGGAUGACGGCCUUCGGGUUGUAAACCCCUUUCAGCACAGACGAAGCGUAAGUGACGGUAUGUGCAGAAGAAGCACCGGCCAACUACGUG